rnacentral:rRNA from 1 species
AGGUGCUGCAUGGCUGUCGUCAGCUCGUGUCGUGAGAUGUUGGGUUAAGUCCCGGCAACCGAGCGCAACCCUCGCCCUUUAGUUGCCAGCAUUCAGUUGGGCGACUCUAAAGGGACUGCCGGUGUCCAAACCGGAGGAAGGUGGGGAUGACGUCAAGUCCUCAUGGCCUUUAUGUCCUAGGGCUACACACGUGCUACAAUGGGCGGUACAAAGGGUAGCGAUGCCGCGAGGUGAAGCCAAUCCCAAAAAGCCGUCCACAGUUCGGAUUGGAGUCUGCAACUCGACUCCAUGAAGUUGGAAUCGCUAGUAAUCGCGGAUCAGCACGCCGCGGUGAAUACGUUCCCGGGCCUU